CCUUGUACACACCGCCCGUCACACCAUGGGAGUUGGUCUUACCCUAAGACGGUGCGCUAACCGCAAGGAGGCAGCCGGCCACGGUAAGGUCAGCGACUGGGGUG
rnacentral:rRNA from 1 species